rnacentral:rRNA from 1 species
AUGCUCUUGCCAGUGAUGAUCCACAGCGAGCGCUUGGUGGCCUUGGUGGAUACAGGCUCCACCCAUAACUUCCUGCCCGAGGCUACCAUGUGUCGGUUAGCGCUUCAGCCGACGGGCGGAGAGCAACUUCGCGUCACGGUGACCAACAGCGAUCGUCUCCGGUGUCAUGGACUCGCCCGGGACGUCCCCAUCACCAUCGACGACGAACACUUCUCUAUCACAUUUGCGGGCAUCGACUUGGGCUGCUUCGACUUCAUCCUUGGCGUCGACUUCCUUCGGACCCUCGGUCCCAUCCUUUGGGACUUUGACGCUCUGACGAUGACCUUCUGGCAACUGGGCCGCCGCAUCCGGUGGGACGGCAUUGGGGGCGCCGCUCCGGCGCCGCCGCAGCUCCAGCUGGCUGCGGCCACCUCUGAGGUCGAGCAUCCCCUACUGGAUCACCUUCUGCAGCAGCACAGCGACCUCUUGGACGAGCCACAGGGCCUGCCACCGGCCCGGGUGUAUGAUCAUCGUAUUCAUCUCCUGCCGGGCUCCGCACCGGUGGUGGUUCAUCCUUACCGCUAUCCACAGCUGCAGAAGGACGAGUUGGAGCGGCAGUGUGCACUCAUGCUCGCCGCGGGCAUCAUUCGGAUCUCCAAGUCGCCCUUCACCGCGCCGGUCCUCCUCGUCCGCAAGUCGGACGGCACGUGGCGUUUCUGCAUCGACUACGGCGCCCUUAAUGCGCUCACACUCAAGGAUAAGUUUCCUAUUCCGGUGGUCGAUGAGCUACUCGACGAGCUCCAUGGGGCGCGCUUCUUCACCAAGCUCGAUCUCCGGUCGGGGUACCACCAGGUGCGCAUGCACCCGGACAACAUCGCCAAGACGGUGUUCCGGACUCACCACGGCCACUUCGAGUUCUUGGUGAUGCCCUUUGGCCUCGCCAAUGCGCCGACAACCUUCCAGGCCCUGAUGAACGACGUCCUCCGUCCCUACUUACGUCGGUUUGUGCGCGUUUUCUUUGAUGACAUUCUUAUCUACAGCGCCUCGUGGGCGGAGCACCUCCAGCACAUCGCCAUCAUCUUCAACGAGCUUCGGGCGCAUCAUCUUCAUCUUAAGCACUCGAAGUGCUCGUUCGGGAUGCCUUUGGUCGCCUACCUUGGCGACGUCAUUUCGGCUGACGGGGUUGCUAUGGAUGCCGACAAGGUGGCGGCCGUCGCAGCCUGGCCCACGCCGCACUCACCGCGGGCUCUUCGCGGUUUUCUCGGCCUCGCGGGCUACUACCGGAAGUUUAUCCGGGAGUUCGGCCUCAUCGCAGCGCCUCUCACACGUUUGCUGCGCCACGACGCCUUCGCAUGGGACGACGAGGCGACGGCGGCAUUCGAGGCCCUCAAGGGGGCCCUCACGACGGGGCCCGUUCUUCAGAUGCCGAACUUUGACCUCAAAUUCGUGGUGGAGUGUGACGCCUCGGGCGCCGGGUUCGGCGCCGUGCUUCAUCAGGGCGAUGGCCCUCUCGCCUUCUUCAGCCGGCCUUUCGCUCCGCGCCAUCUUAAGCUCGCGGCGUACGAGCGGGAGCUCAUUGGCUUGGUGCAGGCGGUGCGCCACUGGCGGCCCUAUCUGUGA